rnacentral:rRNA from 1 species
UGCCAGCCGCCGCGGUAAUACGGAGGGUGCAAGCGUUAAUCGGAAUAACUGGGCGUAAAGGGCACGCAGGCGGAUGAAUAAGUGAGAUGUGAAGUCUCCGAGCUUAACUUGGGAACUGCAUUUCAUACUGUUUAUCUAGAGUCUUUUAGAGAGGGGUAGAAUUUCAUGUGUAGCGGUGGAAUGCGUAGAGAUAUGAAGGAAUACCAAAGGCGAAGGCAGCCCCUUGGGAAAUGACUGACGCUCAUGUGCGAAAGCGUGGGGAGCAAACAGGAUUAGAUA